GCGGGAUUAUGGUAUCACUGUCUUGCAUUCCUGUUGUUUUUCCCCAUCUAUAGUUACCUUAACGACUUGGACCGCAUAGCAGAUUCAGCCUAUCUGCCAACUCAGCAAGAUGUGCUUAGAGUUCGAGUCCCAACAACAGGGAUCAUUGAAUAUCCAUUUGACUUACAAAGCGUCAUUUUCAGAAUGGUGGAUGUAGGAGGGCAACGAUCAGAAAGAAGAAAAUGGAUACAUUGCUUUGAAAAUGUUACAUCUAUCAUGUUCCUAGUAGCUCUUAGUGAAUAUGAUCAAGUGCUUGUGGAGUCAGACAAUGAGGGCAGCCCAAAGGGGAAGUCUGUGGAUCCAAUGACUACCAACCUGUCAGCCUCACCUCCAUGCCCAGGAAGAUCAUGGAACAGAACCUCCAAGAAGCUAUGCUGAGACACAUGGAGAACAGGAAAGUGAUUCAAGAUGACCAGUAUGGCUUCACCAAGGGCAUAUCCUGCCUGAUCAACCAAGUGAUCUUCUAUGAUGGAGUGACUGCAUCAGUGGACAAGGGAAUAGCUACAAAUGUCAUUUAUCUGAACUUCUGUAUGGCCUUUGGCACAGUCCCCCACAACAACCUUCUCUCUAAAUUGGAGAGCUGUGUAUUUGAUGGCUCAACUAUUCAGUGGAUGAGGAAUUGGCUAGAUGGUUGCAUCCAGAGGGUAGUGGUGAACAGCUCAAUGUCCAGAUAGAGACCAAUGACAAGUGGCAUCCCACAGGGGUCCAAAUUGGGACCAGUGCUGUUUCAUAUCUGCAUCAGUGUCAUAGACAAUGGGUUUGAGUGCACCCUUGGCAAGUUUGCAAAUGACACCCAACUGAGCGGUGCAGUUGACACACCUGAAGGACAGGAUGCCAUCCAGAGGGACCUGAACAAGCUCUAGAGAUGGGCCCAUAUAAACCUCAUGAAGUUCAACAAGGCCAAGUGCAAGGGCCUGCACCUGGUUUGGGGCAACCCCCAGUACAGGCUGGGGGAUGAAGGCAUUGAGAGCAGCCCUGAGGAGAGGGACUUGAGUAUCGGCGGAUGAAAAACUGUACAUGAGCUGGCAAUGUGCACUUGCAGCCCAGAAAACCAACUGAAUCCUGGGUUACAUACAAAGAAGUGUGGCCAACAAGUCAAGGGAGGUGAUUGUCCCUCUCUACUACAUUCUCGUGAGACCCCACCUGGAGUCUUGUAUCCAGCUCUGGAGUCCUCAGUACAAGAAAGACAUGGAUCUGUAAGGGCAGGUCCACAUAAACAAAGUGUAUUUUUGUCAGAAUGUGGUUGGGGCAGAAAUAUAAAAAUGUUUAAAAUGUGUUAGUUCUCACCUUAAAUUAAGAAACUGACAAUAAAUAUUAUUCUUAUUCCUCACUGUGAUGUGUCAGAUUCAUUAAGGAAAGCAAUAAUUGAACUUGACUGCUUUGGUAAUCAGUCAAUGGAUAUAUAUUUUUACAUGUCAUAAUUCAAAUAAACUUUGAACUGUGAAAGACUUAAAAUUUCAACACCAAAUUGAGUGUAUAAAUGCCCUACUUUUUUCUUACAUAUAGCAUUAGUGUGAUACUAUGAUAGAAUCUAAUCCUUCUUUGAUACUUGUGCCUGUCAACUGUGUUAGAGAUCUGACUCAAAAAACUUGCAGCGUUCUGCUGCUCCUCUUGCAUUGCUUUCAUAGUCAAAUUAAACCGUAUGAAUUUUGUAAGAUG